UACGGAGGGAGCUAGCGUUGUUCGGAAUUACUGGGCGUAAAGCGCACGUAGGCGGCUAUUCAAGUCAGAGGUGAAAGCCCGGGGCUCAACCCCGGAACUGCCUUUGAAACUAGAUAGCUAGAAUCUUGGAGAGGUCAGUGGAAUUCCGAGUGUAGAGGUGAAAUUCGUAGAUAUUCGCAAGAACACCAGUGGCGAAGGCGGCUCACUGGCCCGGUACUGACGCUGAGGUGCGAAAGCGUGGGGAGCAAACAGG
rnacentral:rRNA from 1 species